rnacentral:rRNA from 1 species
UGGACGGGGCCCGCACAAGCGGUGGAGUAUGGUGGUUUAAUUCGAUGACAACGCGAAGAACCUUACCUGGUCUUGACACUCCCGGACGACCCGUUAGGAAACUAGGGGGUGCUUCCAUCUGGAAGAAUCUGGAGACAGGUGCUGCAUGGCUGUCGUCAGCUCGUGUCGUGAGAUGUUGGGUUAAGUCCCGCAACGAGCGCAACCCUUGCCUUUAGUUGCCAGCAGUUCGGCUGGGCACUCUAAAGGGACUGCCGGUGUUAAACCGGAGGAAGGUGGGGAUGACGUCAAGUCCUCAUGGCCUUUAUGACCAGGGCUACACACGUACUACAAUGGCCGAUACAAAGGGCAGCGACACUGCGAGGUGAAGCCAAUCCCGUAAAAUCGGUCUCAGUCCGGAUUGGAGUCUGCAACUCGACUCCAUGAAGUUGGAAUCGCUAGUAAUCGUGGAUCAGCAUGGCGCGGUGAAUACGUUCCCGGGCCUU